UGAACGCUGGCGGCGUGCCUAAUACAUGCACGUCGAGCGAACAGACGAGGAGCUUGCUCCUCUGAUGUUAGCGGCGGACGGGUGAGUAACACGUGGAUAACCUACCUAUAAGACUGGGAUAACUUCGGGAAACCGGAGCUAAUACCGGAUAACAUGUUGAACCGCAUGGUUCAACAGUGAAAGACGGUCUUGCUGUCACUUAUAGAUGGAUCCGCGCCGCAUUAGCUAGUUGGUAAGGUAACGGCUUACCAAGGCAACGAUGCGUAGCCGACCUGAGAGGGUGAUCGGCCACACUGGAACUGAGACACGGUCCAGACUCCUACGGGAGGCAGCAGUAGGGAAUCUUCCGCAAUGGGCGAAAGCCUGACGGAGCAACGCCGCGUGAGUGAAGAAGGUCUUCGGAUCGUAAAACUCUGUUAUUAGGGAAGAACAAAUGUGUAAGUAACUAUGCACGUCUUGACGGUACCUAAUCAGAAAGCCACGGCUAACUACGUG
rnacentral:rRNA from 1 species